rnacentral:rRNA from 1 species
UACGGAAGGCAGCAGUGGGGAAUAUUGCACAAUGGGCGAAAGCCUGAUGCAGCUAUGCCGCGUGUAUGAAGAAGGCCUUAGGGUUGUAAAGUACUUUCAUCGGGGAGGAAAAAACAAAACUAAUAAUUUUAUUUCUUGACGUUACCCGAAAAAGAAGCACCGGCUAACUCCGUGCCAGCAGCCGCGGUAAUACGGAGGGUGCUAGCGUUAAUCAGAAUUACUGGGCGUAAAGAGCACGUAGGUGGUUUUUUUAAGUCAGAUGUGAAAUCCCUGGGCUUAACCUGGAACUGCAUUUUGAAACUGAAAUACUAGAGUAUCGUAGAGGGAGGUAGAAUUCUAGGUGUAGCGGUGAAAUGCGUAGAUAUCUGGAGGAAUACCUGUGGCGAAAGCGGCCUCCUAAACGAAUACUGACACUGAGGUGCGAAAGCGUGGGGAGCAAACAGGGAUUAGAUACCUU